rnacentral:sRNA from 12 species
AGCUACCUCGAUUCCUUAGUUCCCCGUCCUGGCGUGGCGACGAUGAGAACCUAUGUGAUAAGGUACCAGAUAAAGACAGACCGAGGCUGGUUCGCUUUAAGCGAGAAUCAUCGUA